AUCAUGGCUCAGAUUGAACGCUGGCGGCAGGCCUAACACAUGCAAGUCGAGCGGUAGAGAGAAGCUUGCUUCUCUUGAGAGCGGCGGACGGGUGAGUAAUGCCUAGGAAUCUGCCUGGUAGUGGGGGAUAACGUUCGGAAACGGACGCUAAUACCGCAUACGUCCUACGGGAGAAAGCAGGGGACCUUCGGGCCUUGCGCUAUCAGAUGAGCCUAGGUCGGAUUAGCUAGUUGGUGAGGUAAUGGCUCACCAAGGCGACGAUCCGUAACUGGUCUGAGAGGAUGAUCAGUCACACUGGAACUGAGACACGGUCCAGACUCCUACGGGAGGCAGCAGUGGGGAAUAUUGGACAAUGGGCGAAAGCCUGAUCCAGCCAUGCCGCGUGUGUGAAGAAGGUCUUCGGAUUGUAAAGCACUUUAAGUUGGGAGGAAGGGUUGUAGAUUAAUACUCUGCAAUUUUGACGUUACCGACAGAAUAAGCACCGGCUAACUCUGUGCCAGCAGCCGCGGUAAUACAGAGGGUGCAAGCGUUAAUCGGAAUUACUGGGCGUAAAGGGCGCGUAGGUGGUUUGUUAAGUUGGAUGUGAAAUCCCCGGGCUCAACCUGGGCAACUGCAUUCAAAACUGACUGACUAGAGUAUGGUAGAGGGUGGUGGAAUUUCCUGUGUAGCGGUGAAAUGCGUAGAUAUAGGAAGGAACACCAGUGGCGAAGGCGACCAGCUGGACUAUAUACUGACACUGAGGUGCGAAAGCGUGGGGAGCAAACAGGAUUAGAUACCCUGGUAGUCCACGCCGUAAACGAUGUCAACUAGCCGUUGGAAGCCUUGAGCUUUUAGUGGCGCAGCUAACGCAUUAAGUUGACCGCCUGGGGAGUACGGCCGCAAGGUUAAAACUCAAAUGAAUUGACGGGGGCCCGCACAAGCGGCGGAGCAUGUGGUUUAAUUCGAAGCAACGCGAAGAACCUUACCAGGCCUUGACAUCCAAUGAACUUUCUAGAGAUAGAUUGGUGCCUUCGGGAACAUUGAGACAGGUGCUGCAUGGCUGUCGUCAGCUCGUGUCGUGAGAUGUUGGGUUAAGUCCCGUAACCAGCGCAACCCUUGUCCUUAGUUACCAGCACGUUAUGGUGGGCACUCUAAGGAGACUGCCGGUGACAAACCGCAGGAAGGUGGGGAUGACGUCAAGUCAUCAUGGCCCUUACGGCCUUGGGCUACACACGUGCUACCAAUGGUCGGUACAGAGGGUUGCCAAGCCGCGAGGUGGAGCUAAUCCCAUAAAACCGAUCGUAGUCCGGAUCGCAGUCUGCAACUCGACUGCGUGAAGUCGGAAUCGCUAGUAAUCGCGAAUCAGAAUGUCGCGGUGAAUACGUUCCCGGGCCUUGUACACACCGCCCGUCACACCAUGGGAGUGGGUUGCACCAGAAGUAGCUAGUCUAACCUUCGGGAGGACGGUUACCACGGUGUGAUUCAUGACUGGGGGGAAGUCGUAACAAGGUAACC
rnacentral:rRNA from 1 species